rnacentral:rRNA from 1 species
ACAAGCGGUGGAGCAUGUGGUUAAUUCGACGCAACGCGAAGAACCUUACCAGGGCUUGACAUCCCCUGACCGCGUAUGAAAGUACGUUUCACCCUCGGGUGACAGGGAGACAGGUGGUGCAUGGUUGUCGUCAGCUCGUGUCGUGAGAUGUUGGGUUAAGUCCCGCAACGAGCGCAACCCUCGACCUUAGUUGCCAGCAUUCAGUUGGGCACUCUAAGGUGACUGCCGGCUAAAAGUCGGAGGAAGGUGGGGAUGACGUCAAAUCAUCAUGCCCCUUAUGACCUGGGCUACACACGUGCUACAAUGGGCGGUACAAAGGGUCGCGAACCCGCGAGGGGGAGCCAAUCCCAAAAAGCCGCUCCCAGUUCGGAUUGCAGGCUGCAACUCGCCUGCAUGAAGCCGGAAUCGCUAGUAAUCGCGGAUCAGCAUGCCGCGGUGAAUACGUUCCCGGGCCUU